rnacentral:lncRNA from 1 species
UCCCUGGGCAGCGAGUCGGGCUGGAGCCUUUCCCAGUCCUUUGAGUGGACGUUCCCAUCGCGGGGGGCACGCUUGCCAGCCUUCCCUCCCCGCUCCCCCAUCCGGGAGACGCCCGACUCAGGGCUCUCCGAAGAGGGGGAGUCAGAUGGGGAGGCUGCAGCCCCCAGCCCUCCAAAGGACAGCAGGGCUGAAGGACCUGGCAGCCAGCAGGCAGAGGGGGCUCCAUGCCCAGGGGGUCCCGUGGCACAGCGAGAGGCUGAGCACUCAGCAGAGGAGGAGGAAAGGGAGGCAGAGCAGGAUGCUCCCAUGUCCCACUCCCCACUUCAUGUGACAGAGCCUAGCCAGCAGCCAGCUGAGCCUGAGUCCCCCACCCAGCCCAGCCUUACCAUAACUGCCCCCCUGGAUCCAGCCCCACCAGAUCCAGCUGCUCCAGCUAGCUCAGCCUGGGCAGGUGAUGGCCCCAAGAGCCUGCAGGGUCCUGGGGGCCCAGGCCAGGCUGAAAAACCCUCGCAGGAGCCUGACCCCCACGCUGACCCAGGCUGGCUGACAGAACUAUUGGAGUCACCUGGGGUCCACAGCUCUCCAGAGAACCUGCUGGGCUGGUCACGGAAGGACCUGUGCAGUGAGUUCGGCAUUGGCCACCCUCGCCAGGACAGCAGCUUUGACUGGAGCCACCCAGGUGCAUCCAGGGAGAGAGACUGGCCUGUUGAGACCAAGCAGGACCAGGAAUUUGGGACCAAAUCCAGCUGGGACAGCAACCACAGCAACAAGGACAGCACUGCCCGUGAGAGCUGGAGCGGUGACUACAGAGCAGCGGAGCUGAUGGGGGACACGAAACUGGGCUGCAGCGACUGGUCCCGGUCCCUUGGCACUGCAAAGAGCUGCCCACAGGAUCCAGACUUCAGUGCCAGCACAGCUGAGUGGGGCCAGGGCUAUGGCAGCACGGAGGAGCUUGGUUCCAGACAGGCCAACUGGGGCAGUGACCUUGGCACGGGACACGUCCGACAGCUGGACAAGGAGCCACGCUCCGGGCAGCCCACCUGGGCAGACAGGUACAGCGACAGGGACACAGAGAUGAAGGACAGGGAGCUCACCCCAGACUGGGCCAGUAAAUACAGCAGCCAGGAUGCUGGGAACAAGGAGGAGAAUUUAACACUGGGCUGGGCUGGCAGAUCCAGCACUGGGGACAGCCCAGAUAAGGAGCUCAGCCCCAGCCGGCCAGCCUGGGAUAGGAGGUAUAACCCCAGGGACAUGGAGAGCCAGGACAGGGAGUUCAGCCCCAGCCGGCCGGCCUGGACUGGUGAAAUCAGGGACAUGGAAAGCCAGGACAGGGAGUUCAGCCCCAGGAGACCAGCCUGGACUGGUGAAUACAGGGAAACAAAAAGCCCGGACCAGGAGUUCAGCCCCAGCAGACCAGCCUGGGAUGACAGAUCCAGCACCAAGGAGAUGGAGAGACAGGACCAGGAGUUCAGUCCCAGCAGACCAGCUUGGGAUGACAGAUCCAGCAGCAGGGACAUGGAGAGCCAGGACCAAGAGUUCAGCCCCAGCAGACCAGCCUGGGAUGACAGAUCCAGCACCAAGGAGAUGGAGAGCCAGGACCAAGAGUUCAGUCCUAAUAGGCCAGCCUGGGAUGACAGAUCCAGCAGCAGGGACAUGGAGAGCCGGGGCCAGGAGUUCAGUCCCAGCAGGCUGGCUGAAGCCAGUGAAUGCAGUACCAGGGACUUGGAAACCCAUGAUGAGUUCAGUCCCAGCAGAGCAGCCUGGGGUGACAGAUCCAGCAGCAAGGACAUGGAGACCCAGGACACUGAAUUCACAUCCAGCAGAGCAGCCAGGGAUGGCAGGCACAGCGCUGGGGACAUGGAGACCCGGAAUGGGGAGUUCAGCCCCAGCAGAAGUGUCUGGGAUGAAACAUCCAGCACCAGGGAUAUGGAGGCGCAGGACAGAGAGUUGAGCCCCAGUGGAGCAGCCCAGGAUGGGCAGCACAGCUCUGUGACUGCCAGGGAGGAAGAGCAGGAGCAGAUCCCAGCCCGGCUGAGCUGGCCCAGUGAGGGCAGCAUCGGACAGAGCGGGCUGGGCAGGGUUGGUGAGCAGGACAUGCCCAGCUCCCACCACCCCGAGCCCCUGGCCCAGGAGCCCACCUGGGGCAGUGCCCACCAGCAGGAGUGUCACAGCUCUGGCAGCAGGGACUGGGCUGGGGAGUUUGGAGCAGCUGAGUGCCAGAGCCAGUUUGGUGUCAUUGGCACAGAGCGGGUGCCAGAUCCCUGCAGUGCCGGAGCCUCGGAUGGCUCCAUGUCCGGGGUCCUGCCGCAGCCCCGGGCAGGCUUGCACAGGGAUCUCUCUCUGGACAUGGGCAAUGCCCGCUGGAGCCGGGACCUGGACAGCUGGAGUGUGGAGCCACAGGAUGCUGAGGCCAGGCGCCAGGAGUGGGCGAGUGCCUUCAGCGCCCGCUGUGCCGCCCGCAGCCGAGACCUUGGUGCGGGGGAGCGGAGCGUGGGAGGGGACACUGAUGCAGAGCACGGGUCGGCCCCAAGCCCUUCGAUGGGCGACGUUCCAGCUGAUUGCUUGGCUGUGGAGCCCCCCUGGAGUGAGUCACCCAGCAACUCGGAGGAGGAGAGGCAUCCCUCUGAACCAGCCACUGCCCCACAGAGCCCCACGGUCCCCCCUCUGCUGCCAGAGGCUGUCGGUGGGAUCCCAAUGAACGCACGAAGUGAGGAACAGCCCUCGGACCACCCAGACGGGGAGAGCUCCUUGAGCUGGAGGGAGCAGCGGCUCUCACUGACUACCCCCCAGCCUGAGGAGUCCAUGGAGCAGGGGCAGGAAUUUCCUCUUCUGGAGGUGAGUGGAAGUGGGGACACAGCGUGUGUCUGUGGAUGGGGCUCUCAGACCCUACUGCCCCCAGGGACAGCCAUGGAUUGGGGGCCCCCAGCACUGCUGUGGGGGCUGUGGGUGUGCUGGCUGGGGUGG